rfam:Triticum aestivum genome assembly, contig: Triticum_aestivum_CS42_TGACv1_scaffold_579730_7BL
AUCUGGGUGAUGAAGAAAAUCGUUUGGAUUCCCACUGAUUUUUCUUGAUUAUUACAACCAGAUACUUCUGACGGAU